GAUUAAGUUAUUAAGGGCGCACGGUGGAUGCCUUGGCACUAGAAGCCGAUGAAGGACGUUACUAACGACGAUAUGCUUUGGGGAGCUGUAAGUAAGCUUUGAUCCAGAGAUUUCCGAAUGGGGAAACCCAGCAUGAGUUAUGUCAUGUUAUCGAUAUGUGAAUACAUAGCAUAUCAGAAGGCACACCCGGAGAACUGAAACAUCUUAGUACCCGGAGGAAGAGAAAGAAAAUUCGAUUCCCUUAGUAGCGGCGAGCGAAACGGGAAGAGCCCAAACCAACAAGCUUGCUUGUUGGGGUUGUAGGACACUCUAUACGGAGUUACAAAGGACGACAUUAGACGAAUCAUCUGGAAAGAUGAAUCAAAGAAGGUAAUAAUCCUGUAGUCGAAAAUGUUGUCUCUCUUGAGUGGAUCCUGAGUACGACGGAGCACGUGAAAUUCCGUCGGAAUCUGGGAGGACCAUCUCCUAAGGCUAAAUACUCUCUAGUGACCGAUAGUGAACCAGUACCGUGAGGGAAAGGUGAAAAGCACCCCGGAAGGGGAGUGAAAUAGAACCUGAAACCGUGUGCUUACAAGUAGUCAGAGCCCGUUAAUGGGUGAUGGCGUGCCUUUUGUAGAAUGAACCGGCGAGUUACGAUUUGAUGCAAGGUUAAGCAGUAAAUGUGGAGCCGUAGCGAAAGCGAGUCUGAAUAGGGCGUUUAGUAUUUGGUCGUAGACCCGAAACCAGGUGAUCUACCCUUGGUCAGGUUGAAGUUCAGGUAACACUGAAUGGAGGACCGAACCGACUUACGUUGAAAAGUGAGCGGAUGAACUGAGGGUAGCGGAGAAAUUCCAAUCGAACCUGGAGAUAGCUGGUUCUCUCCGAAAUAGCUUUAGGGCUAGCCUCAAGUGAUGAUUAUUGGAGGUAGAGCACUGUUUGGACGAGGGGCCCCUCUCGGGUUACCGAAUUCAGACAAACUCCGAAUGCCAAUUAAUUUAACUUGGGAGUCAGAACAUGGGUGAUAAGGUCCGUGUUCGAAAGGGAAACAGCCCAGACCACCAGCUAAGGUCCCAAAAUAUAUGUUAAGUGGAAAAGGAUGUGGCGUUGCCCAGACAACUAGGAUGUUGGCUUAGAAGCAGCCAUCAUUUAAAGAGUGCGUAAUAGCUCACUAGUCGAGUGACACUGCGCCGAAAAUGUACCGGGGCUAAACAUAUUACCGAAGCUGUGGAUUGUCCUUUGGACAAUGGUAGGAGAGCGUUCUAAGGGCGUUGAAGCAUGAUCGUAAGGACAUGUGGAGCGCUUAGAAGUGAGAAUGCCGGUGUGAGUAGCGAAAGACGGGUGAGAAUCCCGUCCACCGAUUGACUAAGGUUUCCAGAGGAAGGCUCGUCCGCUCUGGGUUAGUCGGGUCCUAAGCUGAGGCCGACAGGCGUAGGCGAUGGAUAACAGGUUGAUAUUCCUGUACCACCUAUAAUCGUUUUAAUCGAUGGGGGGACGCAGUAGGAUAGGCGAAGCGUGCGAUUGGAUUGCACGUCUAAGCAGUAAGGCUGAGUAUUAGGCAAAUCCGGUACUCGUUAAGGCUGAGCUGUGAUGGGGAGAAGACAUUGAGUCUUCGAGUCGUUGAUUUCACACUGCCGAGAAAAGCCUCUAGAUAGAAAAUAGGUGCCCGUACCGCAAACCGACACAGGUAGUCAAGAUGAGAAUUCUAAGGUGAGCGAGCGAACUCUCGUUAAGGAACUCGGCAAAAUGACCCCGUAACUUCGGGAGAAGGGGUGCUCUUUAGGGUUAACGCCCAGAAGAGCCGCAGUGAAUAGGCCCAAGCGACUGUUUAUCAAAAACACAGGUCUCUGCUAAACCGUAAGGUGAUGUAUAGGGGCUGACGCCUGCCCGGUGCUGGAAGGUUAAGAGGAGUGGUUAGCUUCUGCGAAGCUACGAAUCGAAGCCCCAGUAAACGGCGGCCGUAACUAUAACGGUCCUAAGGUAGCGAAAUUCCUUGUCGGGUAAGUUCCGACCCGCACGAAAGGCGUAACGAUUUGGGCACUGUCUCAACGAGAGACUCGGUGAAAUCAUAGUACCUGUGAAGAUGCAGGUUACCCGCGACAGGACGGAAAGACCCCGUGGAGCUUUACUGUAGCCUGAUAUUGAAAUUCGGCACAGCUUGUACAGGAUAGGUAGGAGCCUUUGAAACGUGAGCGCUAGCUUACGUGGAGGCGCUGGUGGGAUACUACCCUAGCUGUGUUGGCUUUCUAACCCGCACCACUUAUCGUGGUGGGAGACAGUGUCAGGCGGGCAGUUUGACUGGGGCGGUCGCCUCCUAAAAGGUAACGGAGGCGCUCAAAGGUUCCCUCAGAAUGGUUGGAAAUCAUUCAUAGAGUGUAAAGGCAUAAGGGAGCUUGACUGCGAGACCUACAAGUCGAGCAGGGUCGAAAGACGGACUUAGUGAUCCGGUGGUUCCGCAUGGAAGGGCCAUCGCUCAACGGAUAAAAGCUACCCCGGGGAUAACAGGCUUAUCUCCCCCAAGAGUUCACAUCGACGGGGAGGUUUGGCACCUCGAUGUCGGCUCAUCGCAUCCUGGGGCUGUAGUCGGUCCCAAGGGUUGGGCUGUUCGCCCAUUAAAGCGGUACGCGAGCUGGGUUCAGAACGUCGUGAGACAGUUCGGUCCCUAUCCGUCGUGGGCGUAGGAAAUUUGAGAGGAGCUGUCCUUAGUACGAGAGGACCGGGAUGGACAUACCUCUGGUGUACCAGUUGUCGUGCCAACGGCAUAGCUGGGUAGCUAUGUGUGGACGGGAUAAGUGCUGAAAG
rnacentral:rRNA from 1 species